GGGAAUCUACCGUGCCCUGCGGAAUAGCUCCGGGAAACUGGAAUUAAUACCGCAUACGCCCUACGGGGGAAAGAUUUAUCGGGGUAUGAUGAGCCCGCGUUGGAUUAGCUAGUUGGUGGGGUAAAGGCCUACCAAGGCGACGAUCCAUAGCUGGUCUGAGAGGAUGAUCAGCCACAUUGGGACUGAGACACGGCCCAAACUCCUACGGGAGGCAGCAGUGGGGAAUAUUGGACAAUGGGCGCAAGCCUGAUCCAGCCAUGCCGCGUGAGUGAUGAAGGCCUUAGGGUUGUAAAGCUCUUUCACCGGUGAAGAUAAUGACGGUAACCGGAGAAGAAGCCCCGGCUAACUUCGUGCCAGCAGCCGCGGUAAUACGAAGGGGGCUAGCGUUGUUCGGAAUUACUGGGCGUAAAGCGCACGUAGGCGGAUAUUUAAGUCAGGGGUGAAAUCCCAGAGCUCAACUCUGGAACUGCCUUUGAUACUGGGUAUCUUGAGUAUGGAAGAGGUAAGUGGAAUUGCGAGU
rnacentral:rRNA from 1 species